AUGAGCGCUGGAGAUCCCCAGAGAUUUUCCCCGCUUUCCCACGCUGCACUUCCUGCUGUCUGCUUCUCCUUCUUCCCUCGCCUUCCCCGGUUGUACCGUUACCGACUAACCUCGGUGAGGAUCUCCCUCAAGCAGCUUAACCGGUUUGACGUAAAUAGUUCGGAGAGGCGCGUGCGUGCGUGUCACCUUUGCGGAGUCUUAACGGCACCGGUGCGGGUUUAUUCCGCCCCGCGCGGCUGAUGAACGUUGAUCCCGAGCGGACUGAUGCGCUGCAUCCGUUGUUAUGGCAAUGAGAAGAGAGAGUGAGUGAAUGAGGAGGAGGAGAAAGAUGCUCUGCUCCUCACCGCGCGACCUGACAAAGAGCAAAUGCAUGAGAAAUAUGGCAAACAUUUUUAACAUUUAACUAACACGCGUUCGUUUUUUUUAAGAUCACUAACUAGUAUUUUUAAUGAAUAAAUUUAUUAUAAUUACAAACUUUGCUACCAGCCACUUUCCCAGUUGUGAUAAGCAAAUAUUUACUUGUUACUGGAAAUAAAUUACAAACAGUUUUCCAAUUGAUAUUGGUACCUAUUCCAGUUAAACUAGUACUGAUUCUAAAGGGAUAGUUCACCCAAAAAUAAAACUUCUGUCAUUAAUUACUCACCCUCAUGUUGUUCCAAGCCUGUAAGACCUUUGUUCAUCUUCGGAACACAAAAUAAGAUAUUUUGGAUGAUAUUCAAGAGCUCUCUGACCCUACAUAGGCAGCAAUGUAACUGAAAUGUUCCCAGGCUCAGAAACCUAGUAAAAAAGUGAAAGUGAAAGUGACGUGACAUUCAGCCAAGUAUGGUGACCCAUACUCAGAAUUCAUGCUCUGCAUUUAACCCAUCCGAAGUGCACACACACAGAGCAGUGGACAGACACACACACACACACACUGUGAACACACACCCGGAGCAGUGGGCAGCCAUUUUAUGCUGCGGCGCCCGGGGAGCAGUUGGGGGUUCGAUGCCUUGCUCAAGGGCACCUAAGUCAUGGUAUUGAAGGUGGAGAGAGAACUGUACAUGCACUCCCUUCGAUUGGGAGUCCGACUCUCUAACCAUUAGGCCACGACUUCCCCCAAAGGACAUUGACAAUAUAGUUCAUGUGACAUCAGUAGUUCAACUGUAAAUUUAUGAAGCUACGAGAAUACACGAAGAAAACAGUAACAACAACUUUAUUCAUUUACAUUUACAUUUAAUCAUUUAGCAGACGCUUUUAUCCAAAGCGACUUACAAAUGAGAACAGUAGAAACAAUCAGAUCAACAAGAGAACAACAACGGUAUACAAGUGCUAUGACAAGUCUCAGUUCUACUCCAUUAUUCUACUCCAAAUCGCGUAUUCCACCAUUAUGGAGAGUACUACAACGCAUGCACAUUUCUUUCCUCUGCAGUUAAACAAGACUAAUUCAGCAGCAUCAUGCGCA
rnacentral:lncRNA from 1 species